rnacentral:ncRNA from 17 species
CCGCGUUCGCGCGACUGGCGUUCGGAGGGAAAUGACCCUCGGGAAGCGUGGACUUUCAGAGCCGUUCGCCUGGGCGCCUAAC